AGAGUUUGAUCCUGGCUCAGAUUGAACGCUGGCGGAAUGCUUUACACAUGCAAGUCGAGCGGCAGCGCGGGGGCAACCCUGGCGGCGAGCGGCGAACGGGUGAGUAAUGUAUCGGAACGUACCUCGUCGUGGGGGAUAACGCACCGAAAGGUGUGCUAAUACCGCAUACGUCCUGAGGGAGAAAGCGGGGGAUCGCAAGACCUCGCGCGAUGAGAGCGGCCGAUAUCUGAUUAGCUAGUUGGUGGGGUAAAGGCCUACCAAGGCGACGAUCAGUAGCUGGUCUGAGAGGACGACCAGCCACACUGGGACUGAGACACGGCCCAGACUCCUACGGGAGGCAGCAGUGGGGAAUUUUGGACGAUGGGGGAAACCCUGAUCCAGCCAUUCCGCGUGAGUGAAGAAGGCCUUCGGGUUGUAAAGCUCUUUCAGCAGGAACGAAACGGUGCGGGCUAAUACCCUGCAUCACUGACGGUACCUGAAGAAGAAGCACCGGCUAACUACGUGCCAGCAGCCGCGGUAAUACGUAGGGUGCGAGCGUUAAUCGGAAUUACUGGGCGUAAAGCGUGCGCAGGCGGUUAUUUAAGACAGAUGUGAAAUCCCCGGGCUCAACCUGGGAACUGCGUUUGUGACUGGAUAGCUGGAGUAUGGCAGAGGGGGGUGGAAUUCCACGUGCAGCAGUGAAAUGCGUAGAGAUGUGGAGGAACACCGAUGGCGAAGGCAGCCCCCUGGGCCAAUACUGACGCUCAUGCACGAAA
rnacentral:rRNA from 1 species